AGACGCGCCGCACACAGGACAGGCCACUGGGCCUUCCGCGGCGAUGGCGCUGUUCUAGUGACGUCAUAGGGCCGGACUCGCGUGAGUGCGCGUGCGUUGGGGCCUCAGCGUUUAUCUCCACUCUGCGGAGAUUCACACCUGGGAAAUGCUCUUCUGAGAGGACCGGUGGAAGUCAACCCAGGAGAGAGAAGAGAGGACUGAAGCACCGAAAGGGUCCUGCCGUAAGGGAGCAGGAUUGUGUAGAAUAUAUAAUAGCAGUAGCAGAUCUGUUUACGGAGCAUUAACCUUACGUGGAGUUAUUUCCUGCAUUUCCUCCUUUCAUCUUUACAAGGUAGCCAUUUGGCGUUGUGAGGUAUGGAUGUUCCCAUCCCUAAUUUGCAAAAUAGGUAACUGAGGCUCAAGAGAGCUAGACUAGUUUGUGCACAGCCAAGAAGUGGUCAAGCUAAAAUGGGAUCCCAGGUUUGUGCUCCCUACUCUCCACCGAUAACCUAUCAAAGGGCUUUGCAAGAGCUUUUGACUAAUCGCCUCUCAAUGGUUCUUAUUCACUUAUUAAUUGCACAUCAGUAUGUGCCAAAUCUACUGGACAUUGGAGAAACAGUAGGAACAACACAUGGUACCGGCACAUGGAUCUUUCAGGAAAAGGAAGUAGGUAAUAAACAGGAAAAAGCCCGAGUCUGAUGCUAAGAACAUAAACAGGAUGCUGAGGGUCCCACUGGCUAGAGUGCAGUGGCGUGAUCACAGCUCACUGCAACCUAGACCUCCUGGGCUCAGGCGAUCCUCCCACCUCAGCAUCCUGAGUAGCUGGGACUAUAGGCGUAUGCCACCACGCCUGGCUAACUUUUCAUAUUUUUUUGUAGAGAUUGAGUUUCUCCACAUUGCCCAGGCUGCUCUCCAACUCCUGAGCUCAAGUGAUCGACCUCCCUUGGCCUCCCAAAGUACUGGGAUUACAGGCGUGAGCCACCGUGCCUGGCUGAGAAGAUGGAUUUAAGACAUGUUUUGGAGGUCACAUUGUCAGGACUUCCUGAAGGAUUAGAUGUGGAAGGGAAGGAUAAGAAACAGACCAAGGAUAACUUUCAAAUGUAUGCCUAAGCAACUGGAUGGAUAAUGAUGCCACUGAGUGAGUGAAAAACUUGAUGGAAGUGGAAGAUCCAGUUCGUUUCUAUCUAGGUUAAUUUAAGACAUACCGGAGCAUAAGUCAACGGAAAGUAAGCAGAAGAGGUGGGCAGUUUCCAGCCCUGGCCCAUACAGACCUCCAACAGGUGCUCCCCCGUGCUCUUACUCCUUCUGCCAACUGGAAGCAGAUGGUGACCAGGCUCUGGAGAAGGCAAGGCCUGAAGAUGGGAGAUUCCUGAGUGGAGGAGAACUGCCUUACUGACCUAAAUAUCCACUUAGUAUUGUUAUGUGAGAAUAAAUAAACUUGUGUUGACCUUUUA